AUUGAACGCUGGCGGAAUGCUUUACACAUGCAAGUCGAGCGGCAGCACGGGGGCAACCCUGGUGGCGAGCGGCGAACGGGUGAGUAAUACAUCGGAACAUGCCCAGUCGUGGGGGAUAACACUUCGAAAGAAGUGCUAAUACCGCAUACGUCCUGAGGGGGAAAGCGGGGGAUCGCAGGACCUCGCGCGAUUGGAGUGGCCGAUGUCAGAUUAGCUAGUUGGUGGGGUAAAGGCCUACCAAGGCAACGAUCUGUAGCUGGUCUGAGAGGAUGAUCAGCCACACUGGGACUGAGACACGGCCCAGACUCCUACGGGAGGCAGCAGUGGGGAAUUUUGGACAAUGGGGGCAACCCUGAUCCAGCCAUUCCGCGUGAGUGAAGAAGGCCUUCGGGUUGUAAAGCUCUUUCGGCAGGAACGAAACGGUGAGCUCUAACAUAGCUUGCUAAUGACGGUACCUGAAGAAGAAGCACCGGCUAACUACGUG
rnacentral:rRNA from 1 species